ACGCUGGCGGCAGGCCUAACACAUGCAAGUCGAGCGGCAGCACGGGUACUUGUACCUGGUGGCGAGCGGCGGACGGGUGAGUAAUGCCUAGGAAUCUGCCUGGUAGUGGGGGAUAACGCUCGGAAACGGACGCUAAUACCGCAUACGUCCUACGGGAGAAAGCAGGGGACCUUCGGGCCUUGCGCUAUCAGAUGAGCCUAGGUCGGAUUAGCUAGUUGGUGGGGUAAUGGCUCACCAAGGCGACGAUCCGUAACUGGUCUGAGAGGAUGAUCAGUCACACUGGAACUGAGACACGGUCCAGACUCCUACGGGAGGCAGCAGUGGGGAAUAUUGGACAAUGGGCGAAAGCCUGAUCCAGCCAUGCCGCGUGUGUGAAGAAGGUCUUCGGAUUGUAAAGCACUUUAAGUUGGGAGGAAGGGCAGUAAAUUAAUACUUUGCUGUUUUGACGUUACCGACAGAAUAAGCACCGGCUAACUCUGUGCCAGCAGCCGCGGUAAUACAGAGGGUGCAAGCGUUAAUCGGAAUUACUGGGCGUAAAGCGCGCGUAGGUGGUUCGUUAAGUUGGAUGUGAAAUCCCCGGGCUCAACCUGGGAACUGCAUUCAAAACUGACGAGCUAGAGUAUGGUAGAGGGUGGUGGAAUUUCCUGUGUAGCGGUGAAAUGCGUAGAUAUAGGAAGGAACACCAGUGGCGAAGGCGACCGCCUGGACUGAUACUGACACUGAGGUGCGAAAGCGUGGGGAGCAAAC
rnacentral:rRNA from 1 species